UCGAGAAUCUUCGGCAAUGGACGAAAGUCUGACCGAGCGACGCCGCGUGCGGGAUGAAGGCCUUCGGGUUGUAAACCGCUGUCGUAGGGGAUCAAAUGUAUGGGGGUUCUCCCCUGUAUUCGAGAGAUCCUAGGAGGAAGGAGAGGCUAAGCUCGUGCCAGCAGCCGCGGUAAGACGAGCUCUCCAAACGUUAUUCGGUAUUACUGGGCUUAAAGAGUUCGUAGGCGGUCGUGUAGGUGAGGUGUGAAAGCCCUCGGCUUAACCGAGGAACUGCGCUUCAAACCGCACGGCUUGAGGAAGGUAGGGGUACGUGGAACAGAUGGUGGAGCGGUGAAAUGCGUUGAUAUCAUCUGGAACGCCGGUGGCGAAAGCGACGUACUGGACCUUUUCUGACGCUGAG
rnacentral:rRNA from 1 species